rnacentral:rRNA from 1 species
UACGGAGGGUGCAAGCGUUGUCCGGAUUUAUUGGGCUUAAAGGGUGCGUAGGCGGUUAAUUAAGUCAGUGGUGAAAUCCUGGAGCUCAACUUCAGAACUGCCAUUGAUACUGGUUGACUUGAGUACAGACGAGGUUGGCGGAAUUGAUGGUGUAGCGGUGAAAUGCAUAGAUACCAUCAAGAACACCGAUUGCGAAGGCAGCUAACUAGGCUGUAACUGACGCUGAGGCACGAAAGUGUGGGGAGCAAACAGG